rnacentral:rRNA from 1 species
CUACGGGGCGCUGCAGUGGGGAAUAUUGCACAAUGGAGGAAACUCUGAUGCAGCAACGCCGCGUGGAGGAUGACACUUUUCGGAGCGUAAACUCCUUUUAUAUAGGAAGAAGAUGACGGUACUAUAUGAAUAAGCGCCGGCUAACUCCGUGCCAGCAGCCGCGGUAAUACGGAGGGCGCAAGCGUUACUCGGAAUCACUGGGCGUAAAGGACGCGUAGGCGGGUUGGAAAGUCAGGUGUGAAAUCCUAUAGCUUAACUAUAGAACUGCUUCUGAAACUCUUAAUCUAGAAUAUGGGAGUGGUAGAUGGAAUUUCUGGUGUAGGGGUAAAAUCCGUAGAGAUCAGAAGGAAUACCGAUUGCGAAGGCGAUCUACUAGAACAUUAUUGACGCUGAGACGCGAAAGCGUGGGGAGCAAACAGGAUUAGAUACCCUGGUAGUC